rnacentral:misc_RNA from 1 species
GAUGAAGAACGUAGCGAAAUGCGAUAAGUAAUGUGAAUUGCAGAAUUCCGUGAAUCAUCGAAUCUUUGAACGCACAUUGCGCCCCCUGGCAUUCCGGGGGGCAUGCCUGUCCGAGCGUCAUUUCUGCCCUCAAGCACGGCUUGUGUGUUGGGUGCGGUCCCCCCGGGGACCUGCCCGAAAGGCAGCGGCGACGUCCGUCUGGUCCUCGAGCGUAUGUGGCUCUGUCACUCGCUCGGGAAGGACCUGCGGGGGUUGGUCACCACUAUAUUUUACCACGGUUGACCUCGGAUCAGGUAGGAGUUACCCGCUGAACUUAAGCAUAUCAAUAAGCGGAGGA